CAUUAGCUGGGUCUCUGGAUUAAUAGUCUCAUGAUAAUGCCACUAGGCUGUUGCCUUCUCUACCUCCUUCCAAGGCCAUUGGAAAGCAAACAAGCUUUGAACUUGUGCCCUUGAAUGUUAUCUUUGAUCCGUCUUCCAACGUUCUUAUAACGAAUAAUGUUCAAACAAAAGGGGAAAAGAAAUCACCUUUAUCUUAAAGCCCUAUGUUUAUUCUCCUAGAGGUGCUCGCAGCAGAGCUCUGGAAAUCAACCUUUUGAUAGCUGGAGACUCUGGGGACAAUGCUGGAGCAUUGGCCACCCCUGGGAGAUUGUGAGGGAUGUGGCAUUUAAAACUUCAGAGAGGAGACUAGCAAUAAAACAGAGAAAAGAGAUGGAAUAGUUGGGAUUAAGCCAGAGAUGGCAAGUUAGAGAUCAGAGCAGUGUUGCACGUGGAGAGGUCAGAAUGGGCCCUCCAGGUGGUAUUGAUAAAGCACUCUGAGAAUGUCAGGUGUAAAAGUGAUAGAGACCAAUCAGAUUGAACAAUGAUGACCCAGUGCUGAAUGAAGGGGGUGUGGGGGGUGCUGACUAGGUUGGUGGAAGUGGUGACAAUCAAUAACUUCAAAAGGAAAUUGCAUUGGCACUUGAAGAGAAUAAACACGCAGGGCUGCUGAGGUAGAGUAAGGGAAUGGGAGAGUCUGAAUUGGUCUACAGACAGCCAGUAUGGAUUCAGUUGCUGAAUAGCCUCCCUCUGUGAUAUAACUGGUCACUGCAAAGUGGAUUCAGUCUGGUGAUACGGCAUUAAACAGCCAUCAAUCCUUCUGAGCAAUAACCUGGUCAGGAUGGCGAUAAACAGAACUGGGGCCUAACAGAUCCAGACCCUCGUUGCCAAGACUGCUGGUUCUUGCUGAUUGGUUAAGGAGUCAGUCUCUCUUCCUUUUAACUUGUGUAGCUAAGCAUUAGUUUCUUUCCUUCUUUAUUGUGGAGGCAACAAGUGAAAAUAAUGCUGAUUGCAACUGGGCUUGCAUAGUAUUUUUUUCCCCUGAUUGGACAAGAGUUACCAAAUGACUUAUUUUGUAAUCCAUUACAGAAAGUGAUGUGAGCAUGCCCUGAGCUUGAAGAGAAUGAGUGGCGUGAACAUCAUUCCCAGCCUUACAAAGUUAGUGUUGGAUGGUGUAUUCAGUGAACACUGGUCGCCAAGCUCGUUCUGGGUCAUGCGAA